rnacentral:rRNA from 1 species
AGUGAACGCUGGCGGUAGGCCUAACACAUGCAAGUCGAACGGCAGCACAGGAGAGCUUGCUCUCUGGGUGGCGAGUGGCGGACGGGUGAGGAAUACAUCGGAAUCUGCCCAGUCGUGGGGGAUAACGUAGGGAAACUUACGCUAAUACCGCAUACGACCUUCGGGUGAAAGAGGGGGAUCGCAAGACCUCUCGCGAUUGGAUGAGCCGAUGUCGGAUUCGCUAGUUGGCGGGGUAAUGGCCCACCAAGGCGACGAUCCGUAGCUGGUCUGAGUGGAUGAUCAGCCACACUGGAACUGGGACACGGUCCAGACUCCUACGGGAGGCAGCAGUGGGGAAUAUUGGACAAUGGGCGCAAGCCUGAUCCAGCCAUACCGCGUGGGUGAAGAAGGCCUUCGGGUUGUAAAGCCCUUUUGUUGGGAAAGAAAUCUUUCAGGCUAAUACCCUGGGAGGAUGACGGUACCCAAAGAAUAAGCACCGGCUAACUUCGUG